GAUGAACGCUAGCGAUAGGCUUAACACAUGCAAGUCGAGGGGCAUCGAGGGUAGCAAUACCUGUCGGCGACCGGCGCACGGGUGAGUAACGCGUAUGUAACCUGCCCGCAACAGAGGGAUAACCCGGCGAAAGUCGGACUAAUACCUCAUAAAACAGGGGUUCCGCAUGGGGCUAUUUGUUAAAGAUUUAUUGGUUGCGGAUGGGCAUGCGUACCAUUAGGUAGUUGGUGAGGUAACGGCUCACCAAGCCAUCGAUGGUUAGGGGUUCUGAGAGGAAGGUCCCCCACACUGGUACUGAGACACGGACCAGACUCCUACGGGAGGCAGCAGUGAGGAAUAUUGGUCAAUGGGCGAGAGCCUGAACCAGCCAAGUCGCGUGAAGGAUGACUGCCCUAUGGGUUGUAAACUUCUUUUACAGGGGAAUAAAAUGAGAUACGUGUAUUUAUGCAUUACCUGGAAAAGC
rnacentral:rRNA from 1 species